rnacentral:lncRNA from 1 species
CAUUGUAGUGGAUGUUGGCAACAGUUGGUCUACUGUAGAAGUGGAGUGUGCAUCAAGAUGGGAUCUAUCGAUCCUAGCAAAAGGGAGUAGUCCUGUGAGAUUUAAGAGGCUGAGUCCUUAAGUCUAUAGUCAUAGCAGUAUGAUUGAUGAAAAAAAUUUUCAUAGAAUCAUAUAUGGACUUAAGCUGAUUGAAUCUAUCAUAUGACCGAUAUUGAGGUUUGACGAUUUAUCCAUGACCUGCCAUCU